UACGAAGGGGGCUAGCGUUGCUCGGAAUCACUGGGCGUAAAGGGUGCGUAGGUGGGUCUGUAAGUCAGUGGUGAAAUCUCCGGGCUUAACCCGGAAACUGCCAUUGAUACUAUAGAUCUUGAAUAUCCUGGAGGUGAGCGGAAUAUGUCAUGUAGCGGUGAAAUGCUUAGAUAUGACAUAGAACACCAAUUGCGAAGGCAGCUCACUACGGGAUCAUUGACACUGAGGCACGAAAGCGUGGGGAUCAAACAGG
rnacentral:rRNA from 1 species